GAAACCCAAACGUUGAUGGUAAAUCCAAUUUGUCGUAACUUCUCCGUCUGAGCUCUGAUCGCUGUACCGUUUGCGGCCACGCGUCCACCGUGUUGAGCUCUACAUUUCUACCAGAAUAAUUUCAUAGGAUCCAAUUAGCUUGAGAAAAACAUUCACUCUUGCUUAUGUGAAGCUUGGGUAAGAUGCAGGUCGAGAGGCAUCUCGUUAGUUGUCUGGACCCCUGAGGCGAAGUGGUUACUGGGUUAUUUUGUUGUACAGUGAUGUAUAUAUAUGUACUUAGCUUUCUCU